rnacentral:rRNA from 1 species
CCGCUGGCGACCGGCGCACGGGUGAGUAACACGUAUGCAACCUGGCCGUGACAGAUGGAUAACCGGGAGAAAUCCCGCCUAAUACAACAUAAUGCCGGGAGGGGACAUCCCCUGCCGGCCAAAGGGGGCGACCCCGGUCACGGAUGGGCAUGCGGCGCAUUAGGUAGUUGGUGGGGCAACGGCCCACCAAGCCGACGAUGCGUAGGGGUUCUGAGAGGAAGGUCCCCCACAUUGGAACUGAGACACGGUCCAAACUCCUACGGGAGGCAGCAG